ACUCACUGCUGUAUCGUCUGGACUGUGGGACACUGGGAUGCUCUGCAGUGUUUAACAAUGAAGGACCGGAGACAUGUGUACCUGUACCUGGAGAGAUUUGAUGAGAUGUGAUGCUAAGUGGGACGUUUAUCUUUGGACAAUGGCUGCUCGACAUUCGGGAUGGAAACGUAGGGGAGCGUCUGAAUAUAUGGGGAUUGUGGAGAAAUAUUUUUCUGAACAGUUUUAAUAGGAUCAAUAGCUUCUUGAUUGGACAGCUGCAAAUUCAACAAUCUGGCGAUCUUCAAAGACACACCAAGAAAAGAAAAGGCUGUUCAAUGACUUCUAGACCAAGAGCAAGGUGUUUCAUUCUUUCAUCACCUCCAUGCGUGUGUCUGGAUGUUUAUACAAUAACAGCAUGCUGGGGAUACGGCGCUGGAGCACUGGGCAUGACGACAUGUCUCCAGGCUUGAAGUUCUCUGCUGCCGUUUACUAAACAGUCUUGAUAGGACAUGACUGUUUUAGUAAAUACAGAAGGCGCGUGUGUGUUUGUUUAUGUGUGUGUUUUGGGUUGAUUUGGUACCAGAACAGUUAGCUCUGCGUUCAGGGAGCAGUUAUCCAAAGAGUGUUGGAUUGCUCUCCGAUCACUUUUAGUGGAAUCAACCGGAACAGAUUUACAAACGUCUUUGUCCGUCACACAGCGAGGUGUUCUUACAGAGAUAUAAUCAGUUAAAAACACAGAUAUCCCUCAUGCACAACGAGCUCUGAUAUAGUCGUUCCCUGUCUGAGUUUAUAUUAUAAACAUCAUACCCUUUCACGCCCUGCAACAACGCGUACGCACACGCACACAUAAACGAACAUGUACGUGUGUGAGAGAGUGUGUGUGUGUGUGUGUGUGUGUGAGUGUGUGAGCACAUUCCGUUAGUCCGACAGGUGUGUGGAAGACUGCCACGAGCCAGGCAGCAGGUGAAGAUGAGGAUUUAUAGAUUUUAAUUGUAUCACCCUGUUGAGCAAUAAUUCCACUGCCCGAGGCGAGGAAGGUCUAUAGCUACAGUAACAUGUGAUUGAUGGAUGCUGUGCUGGCCUCCCCUCAGUCAUAUAGACACUGGUGUGCUCCACGCUAAAUGAGUAUUAGCUUUCACUAGAAUGCUUUUUGGGGAAACUGGUAACAGGUAAGAUCGUCUAGACGAGAGCGUGUAGAAGAAAUACCAGGUUGAAGAAAAGAUACAUUACCUUGAUUUUCUAUCAAGUUUAACAAUGUGUGAAAUCGGUGGACAAGGUAACCAUCCACAUGAAGGAUAGAUCUGCUGCAGAGAAACCGACACACCGACUAAGGGAAGUUCCCGAAACAGCGAAGUGUUCGUUGUGUUGUGAGAUACAAGAAAAGCAAACUGACUUAGGUUUCAAGGAGUCGGUAAAGUCAAUCCCUCAGGUUUUUUUCCACGUCUUAUCUCCAUCUGGAUUACAGCGUUCUCCCCCCCUCCUAAAACCAUGUCUUCCCCUUUCGUCGCGGGAUAGCAGUUACAAAUUUGCAUCCAUCUGAAACUGUCUGAAUAAGAGAGCAGAAGGUGAUAUCUGCUGUUAAUGAAGACAAAAGCCUGUGAUGUUUUCAUUGGCAGAUAAACUCCAGGAUCGACAGAGGCCAGAGGCCACCCCUGCUUUAAAUGUCAUAUUGUUCACCUGCUUAAGAGUCUCAAUAUAUAUAUAAAAAAAAAGACUGUUAAAUUGCUGUGUUCACAGUUCAUAGUACCAAGUACCAAGUACUCUCUCUUUUGUCUCCCUCUUCAAAGUAAUCUUCCUUUUUUCUUCUUCCCCUGAGCCGCUCUGCAAGUUUCAUAUCUGUAGCUAAAGAUAUCAUAUUUGCUUAUGAGUUUGGCACAGACAUAAUUACCUGUAUUAGCUCUGAGAUUUGUGGCACAGUUUGAGACAGGACACUAUAAUCAGAUAUGUCUGCAAGUCUGGCAUGGCUAAUAAAACAGGACUUAUGAUCCAUUCAACCUCAUCACUUACUUUUAAAUCAGUUAUGCAAAUUUAGACAGGUUGGCCCCCUAAUCUCCAACUAAUGCACUUCAUAUUCUCUACCAGGAUGUCAGAUUCCACUUGGUCGGGCUCUGAAGUUUGCUUACUUACUUACUUUCUGUUUUCUUUCUUUCCCCCUUUCUUUUUUUUUCUUUCUUUCGUCCCCUCUCUCUGUGUUUAGUGUAAAUGGCUGUCAUGCUGCCCUUGUUUCAGGGUAAAUAAAGGCCUAAGGCUGACACCAAUCCAAGCAAUCGUAUUUAUUUCAAUAACAUGCCCAGGAUAACUGAAGAACUGAGUGGAAGGAAACCUGCAGAAAAGUGAAAGUCACCGUUGACACACUUUGGUUAUUCAAGGAGCCAAAGUAACUAAAGAACUAAACUAAAGCUUGGUAGAUGAUGACACGCACGGUGCAAUAACUCUAAUAUACACACGUUUUGUAUUUUUUUUUUAUACUAUUGUACUGUUGAGCUGACCUGUUUCUUCUCAUGCAACACCUUUCCUUGUACCCUUUGUAAACUUGCACAUGACAAAUAAAACUUGAAACUUGAAUAUAUAUAUA